rnacentral:rRNA from 1 species
CAAAAACAUAGCUGUGUGGUGUUACGCACAGUAUUUUCUGCUCAAUGAGAUGUUAAAUAGCCGCAGUACCCUGACUGUGCAAAGGUAGCGUAAUCAGUUGUCUUCUAAUUAAAGUCCCGUAUGAAAGAAUGUAUGGGGGCCCACUUUACCAAUGGUAGUAAAGGAAAUUGAUAAGUGAGUGCAAAUGCUCACGGUGUUAAGUAGACGAGAAGACCCUAGAAAUUUUUAAUCAUUCUUUUUGUUGGGGCAACAUAGUACCAAAUAAUUUACUUUAUGUAUAUGAAAUAGGUUAGGAAACACAAAUUACUCUAGGGAUAACAGCAUAAUUAAAGAUCGUUUGUGACCUCGAUGUUGGAUUAGGAAGUUAUAGCUUAAAAGGUUGUUAAUUCCGCUCUGUUCGAGCG